GCCAGUUCAUCAACGUUUGAUUUGAAGCCCCACUUAAAAUAGGCACAAACCACCUCGUGGGAUGCCAAACCAAGCAUGAUUUCAUCGAUAAAAACACACAAUUCGAAAGCCUUAAGCACCACUUGAUCACGUUCGCUGAGUCAUCUUCAAUUAGAACACACAUGCGGCAUUAAAAUCUUAUCUCAAGUGGCUUUCUCGUAAGAUACUUAUAUUGAGAAACAUCGAGAACGUGCUUUUGUCUCCCACUUUCCCACAAGACAGACACAAGAAAACAAUAAUCCAUUAGCGGCAAACUUCCUCACGGUAGAAUCGUGCAUCCUAUUCUCCCAACCUUAGCCCCUCUAAUAGCGUCAGCAUAAUUCCGACCAAACCACUUCAUUUUAAAAUGUGACAAACCUACACAUUUUAAGGUCCACUACAUUACUCCACAAAGAAAAAGGAGUGUAUACUAUGAAACUAUUUAUUUUUUGAACAAAAUGAUCACAAUCAUUCUCACUCAUUCAAUGUGAAAUCUAACGAUUGACAUGUAUCAUAAUAUUUAAAAAAAUUUAUUUUGUACUUUGUACCCAAUCAAUAAGACAUUCCCAACAACUCGAUUUUAUAUCUAACGAAUCAAUAAAGAUUGUGAUCUCCCUCUACCAAAAAAUACAUAGUGUCAAUCUAUAUAAAGAAAAUAUGAGCACUUCCUUAUAACAUAAAGCCAAAAAAGCGGAUAAGUAGUUUUCUUUUUUUCUUUCAUGUUAUGGGAAGUCCGGAUUUGAGGAGAGCGAAAGUGGGAGGAAGCGGUCAAAAGCGUUUUGGUCCAAUUGGUGCUUGUAUCUCCUUUCCAACUAUGCGUUUUAUCUACAAACUUCAAUGAUUUCUGCCUUUUUCCCUUUAUGAAUGAGCAAGAAAACCGGGAUACCUUAUACGAGAAAUCAGCUUUAAAAAUACCGGUUGCUAUUACAUAUCAUAGGACAUAGAAAGCUCUCUCUCUCUCUCUUAUCUUGUUUUAUCUUCACUGGAUUUUUUUUAAUUAUUUAAUAAUAGUUAUAAGGGAGAAGUUUAUAUAAAGCCGAGCAUCUAAACAAUCAAAUUAGAACCGACCUCAAAAAUUUCACCAGAAGAGAUUGAUUUGAUGCUUAAAUAUCCUCAAAUUGAUCAUCUCGACAUCAAGAUGCAUUGAAAUGAGAAAAAAAUGGAUUUCAAGUUUUGGAAAUAGUGUAUUUUUGAACCUCCAAUUUUCAAUAUUUUCAAGUUUUCAUAGAUUGGUCGAUCUACACUAUUUUUUGAAAUUUUAAACUCUAUAAAUAAAAGUUAAAAUAUAUUUUAAGGCUUUCACAAAAAUUUCCAGUGUUAAAACUACAUUUCUCAAUACUAUUUGAAGGUAGGCUCUAAUUUGAUUGUUUAGAGCCGCACAAUAUAAUACAUGUAAACUAAUUAAGCUAUAAAUAAUUCUUACCUGGAGGUCUCAAGUAGCGCCCACCCACACAUACUCUUCUGUUAUGUGCGCUCACAAGCGUUUAAUAAUCUCGUCACCUCGUCAUGUGACUCUUGUGAUAAGGGCCGCAACCGGCCAGGCUUGGCCCAAUCCUAGCUUUGACAGAGCUGAGCCUGUCGGGGUAGGCGUGCUAUCCAACUGCAAAAACAAAACAAUAGACAAAAGAAAAAACAAGCGAGAUAAAAGGACGGGGUGGGGCUGAACUGGGCCCACCCUGUCCUAGGCCUAGUACUAUUUUCAAGUCGUGGUUGCCUAGCUCAGGCCAGGCCCCAGGCAACAUCUUGUGACUUAGGCACUAUUUUUUCUUAGAUUAUUAUUUUAAUACAAAUUUAAAUUUUGAGUUUUUCAAACACUUAGAUCUCACUCAAAAAAAUUAUAAAGUCUCUAUUCAAUUUUGCACGUUAUUUUCUCUAGAUAAACAAAAUGCAAUUUGAGUCCUAUUUUUGAAGUUAAUUGCUAGGUUGAAGAGGUUACAUCCCCUAAUAUUUUUUAGACCCAAAAAUACUCUCAAAGAAGUAAAUAGGUAGUAUGCUCUUACAAGAGUAUAAAAUCUUUUGACUUAAGAAAUUAAAUGAUAUGUGGUCAAGGGAAGUGCAUUGGCCCUAUACCUCAGGCUGAAUUGAAGUCCUAAAAUACCUGCUAAUCAUACACAAAUUUUUUUUUGCUCCCAUUCUUGAAUUCCAACUCCAUAAUACCAACAAACAAUCAUACUCAGCUAGUCUCAGUCUGCUCCCAAUGGUUGAAGUUAAGAACAUUAAUGCUCAAACAAAAAGAAAAUAAUCACAUCAUUAAAAAAAAUCCACAAAAUUGUACUCUAAUCAUUGUUAUUCAUGUUUUUUCUUCUUCUUCUUUUCUUUUCUUUUCUUUUUUUUCUUUUCUUUUUUCUCACAGACCAAUUUGCAAAAUAUGCCUCCUUGGGAAAUACUUGCCGGCGAGAUUAAUUUUUAGUUGCACACAUCCUCAUGUGAAUGAGAAAAGAGGCUUAUUUUAUGUAUUGAGAAGGUUAAUUAUGUAAUGGCAUGGGAGUCAGAAGGAUAACCUUGUCAUUCAAAAGAGACGAAGAGCUUUUAUAUUUGGUUGAGGUUCAGGGCGCUCCGGACUUUUUGACAGUAACCAAACACCAUUUAUAUACAUUUAAGCUCUUUUAAAAAGGGCAAAAGAUGUAUGGCUCUUCCUUAAAAUCCCUUAGACUUCCUAUGAAUUAAAAGGGAAAAUUGUUUAAAACUUUAAACCCGUCCUUGAACUUUUCAUUAUUUAAAUUAUAAUAUUUUUCUUUUUUGGUUUUCUAAUUACUCAAGCAUCCGAAUAGAAUUUUGGUUGCUAUAUAACUUGCUUGUGAGUUUUACGAUUGAGAGAGAUGUGGGGUUUAAGGGAUAGAAUUUUGGUUGCUAUAUAACUUGCUUGUGAGUUUUACGAUUGAGAGAGAUGCGGGGUAUAAGGGAGGUUGACAGAGAGAGGAGAGGGGGCUCACAUGUGACGCAGAGAGAGAGAAGGGUGAGCUUUUUUAGGGUUCGGAUGAGGGGUCAAUAGAAAAGAAAAUAAAUAAAUUUUGUGAUUUUAAAAUUAAGGAGGGGGCUAAUGUUAUUUUCUGUUAAUUUGGAGGGGUCUACGAACUUUCCACAAACAUGAGAGUUUAUUUGAGAUUAUAAUUAUAUGACUUAGGGUAUAUGAUUUUUUCCCUUAAAAAGAUAGCUCAUAUGACAAUUUAUUGAAAUAAAUGCUACAAGAGCAUAUACAAGAUAAAACAAUAUAAAACCAUAUUAAGGCUAUUUGUUUGACCCAAUUUUUAAUAUCUUCUUUUCAUUCUAAUGAACAAUUACAAAAAAGAAAAAUGUGAAAACACAACUUGAAAAGUGUUUUUUGGCCCAAUUAACAUAGGGUGUCCGUUUUGGUGAGGUGUUUAGAUCUUUUUCUUUCUAAAUUUUUUAGAUAACUUUAUCAUCAUUAGAUUAACAAUGUUAAAA
rnacentral:lncRNA from 1 species